rnacentral:lncRNA from 1 species
UCGUCUUUCUACGAUGUCACUAACCAAUCUACUUUAUUCUGGCUGCCACCCCCAUAACACCUAUAAAAUCCUUCGCAGACUCAGCAGACACCGUCGUGCCUGUCUCCAAGGGAACACAGUGGGCACGGGGACUCCAAGCACUGUGGACCCCCCGUCCCUGUGUCCUUCACAUACCCGCUCCCCUGGCCAUACCAGCUCCCCGGCUGCUCUUCGCCUUGGCAGACUGUCGUUACGUGUAGGAGUCUUCAAGCACGUGGGGCCCUGCAGCCUGACUUGGGAUCAUGUUGGUGAAGUCUGAUGCCACCCCGAGCAGCACCUGAGUCUCACAGACGAAGAACCAGAGGAAAGCUG